rnacentral:ncRNA from 2 species
UAGAAAUAAAAAGCGCCUGAACUACACAUGGACGGAAAUCUGUGUAGUUGACGAGGAGAGGGUUUAUCGAUUGUUCGGCGGAUGCCCUCCGGUUGUAGCAUGACAGCCGUUAAGUUUCUGUAAAAAACAAAGGGGUGACUCUUUGCACAAAAUCAGAAACAGCAUGCCAC